AGAGUUUGAUCCUGGCUCAGGAUGAACGCUGGCGGCGUGCCUAAUACAUGCAAGUCGAGCGAACUGAUUAGAAGCUUGCUUCUAUGACGUUAGCGGCGGACGGGUGAGUAACACGUGGGCAACCUGCCUGUAAGACUGGGAUAACUUCGGGAAACCGAAGCUAAUACCGGAUAGGAUCUUCUCCCUUCAUGGGAGAUGAUUGAAAGAUGGUUUCGGCUAUCACUUACAGAUGGGCCCGCGGUGCAUUAGCUAGUUGGUGAGGUAACGGCUCACCAAGGCAACGAUGCAUAGCCGACCUGAGAGGGUGAUCGGCCACACUGGGACUGAGACACGGCCCAGACUCCUACGGGAGGCAGCAGUAGGGAAUCUUUCCGCAAUGGACGAAAGUCUGACGGAGCAACGCCGCGUGAGUGAUGAAGGCUUUCGGGUCGUAAAACUCUGUUGUUAGGGAAGAACAAGUACAAGAGUAACUGCUUGUACCUUGACGGUACCUAMCCAUAUAGCCAGUGGUAUCAAAGGUUCANAUNAAAAC
rnacentral:rRNA from 2 species